UCCAGCCAUGGCAAUGAAGCUUUGUCUGCUUAAAGGUGCUGAAACUGCUUGCUUGAGAGCCAAUACUGACUCCUGAACCAAUGUGGAUAACUUCACUCACGUCAACACUGAACUAAUUCCACAACCUAUGGACUUGCUUUCAAGGACUCUACAAUGCUUGUUCUCAGGGAGCGAACAGCCAUUAUCAGUAUUGGCAAGGAGAUGCAAAUGAUUGCAGAUGCUGGAACCUGGGGCAACAAACAAUCUGCUGGAAGAACUCCUCUAUGUCCAUUUAUUACCAAGAGAGAGAGCUUGUGAUAUGUCAAACUGUCAGAUGCUGCCUGACCUGCUGAGUUCCUCCAGCGUUUUGCGUCUGUUGAUCUAUGUGGUGAGCUUGCAUUCCUGGAGCCAAGCAUUUAAGAACUGGUGCUAUGGCCUUUUGCUCCAAAAACCUGGACUCUUCUACUGACUGGGAUACACCAGGUUGGUGCUGCGGAAUGUUUCAAAACACUUCCAAAAACCAGAGCACCCAGAAGAAACCUACACAGUAACAGGAGGACAUAAACUAUAAGGUAUAGGAGCAGAAUUAUGCUAUUUGGCCCAUCAACAUACGAACACUUUACAAACAGCGGCAGGAGUUGAAUCCAGGUUGCUAGCACUGUAUAGCAUUUCAGUGCCUAUAAAAGCUAUUCACCCACCCCUUGGAAGUUUUCAUGUUUUAUUGUUUUAUAGUAUUGAAUCACAAUGGAUUUAAUUUGGCUUUUUUCAACACUGAUCAACAACAAAAAAAGAGACUCUUUCGUGUCAAAGUAAAAACAGAUCUCUACAAAGUGGUCUAAAUUAAUUACAUGACAGUGUAUCUGCUAUUGAUAGGAGAAGUAGGAGGAGUACCAUAGCCAAUUUAGCAUCUAUGAGUCAGGAAGUGGGACAAACAAAGAGACCCAGGCACUGUAAUAGCAUUAAACAAACUACCAUGCCACACACCUUGUUCUGGCUGGGCUCUUUCUUGUGAAAAUUUGUGUAAUUAUGUUCAAAUUAUUUUUCUUGUGAAUGCUGCUUGUAUGAUAGAAUGUGCCUGUGAUCCAGUUACAAGUAAGUUUUUCAUUGCA